rnacentral:lncRNA from 1 species
AUAGCAUUCCUAGUUGGUUUUGGAAUUCACCCCUUCAAGUUCAAUAUUUCAAUCUUUCUCACAACCAAAUCCAUGGGCAGAUUCCUGAUAUACCUAGGACUGUAUUUGUAGAUUCCAUUAUUGACCUUAGUUUUAAUAAUUUUAGUGGUCCAUUACCAAGUUCCAAGCCCUUCAAUCACCAAGUUCCAAGAUAUAACAUUAUUCCCUGGCAUCUCCUCAAACACCUUCAACCCUUCCUCCAACAUUCCAUUCAUAAAAUACCCUCCAAGCAUUGCAUUCCACGUCACCACAUCAUGACCAUGCAUGAGCCCAGAUAUCACAGUGGUAUACGUAAAAAUAUCACGUUCUGGCAUUUGAUGGAAUAAGGCCGAGGCUUUACUUAAAAACCCAUUGAGAAAAUACCCACCAAUCAUUGAAUUCCAGGUGACAACGUUUUUUGCGAGGCAUUUUGUCAAACAGGUUCUGGGCUUGUUGGACAAGCCCAUUUUUCCUGAAAUUUGAGAUUUUGGAGCUGUGGGGUUUAAGGUUGGAGACUGUUGUGGAUGUUUGGUUGCUUUGAACGAAUGUUGGGGCCGAAAAAGAGAGGUGCCUGGCGACUUUUAUAGGAAAAGUUGGGUUUAGUUUAGGAAUGAACAUGCCCAAACCCAGAGAGCAAGAGAAAGGUGAACAAGACGGAUAAAAAAGAAAAGAGUGUGCAAUAUAAAAGAAAAGGGUUUAGUUCACAAUCGUACUCGUGUCAAUCAGUAAUUGGUCAGCAUAUAUAUUUGCAAAACAAACAACUGAACCUCAGGUUGAAUAUAUUAAAUAACUAGGCAACACCCUCAAGGAUUGUUUGGUACUAUUUUUUACAAGAUAAAACCAAGUUUAUGAUAUUUCAUUUAUUAUAAAUCGUCAUUUUUUAUAUUUAAAAUAUGUUUGGUUUCAUAUUUUUUUAGGCAAAGUUAUGUUUCCAUCAUUAUUUUAAAAUAUUAAUAUAUAUAAUAAUGAUUAAAUAUACAAAUAAGCUCUCAAAUUAUAUUAAGAAAGUUAAUUUAGCUUAUAUCAUUUUAUUACAUUCAAAUAAACCAUUGAAUUCUUAUGUUAAGUUAAAAUAAGCCUCCUUCACUAAUAGGUGACUAGUCAACAGUAUAGUCUAUAAAUUUUUAUACCACGUCAUCUGCCACGUGACAUGUUGAUGUGUCAUCUUGAUGAUAUCAAUGUCACGUUGCAUCAAAAAUUGUAGACUAAGAAUUGAGUUUUUUCCUUUUUAUCCAUCCAAAUAUCCAAAAAUGAUUAGUUAGGGAUUUGGAACAAAAAACUAAAAAAAAAAAGUAAUUGCUUUAAACGAUUACAAUCGUUUUUUAAUUAAUUAUCAUUUUCUUAAUUAAAACCAUCCUUCCUAACAAAAAAAUCUAAUCCAACUUUUUCAGUUCGAUUAAAACUAUUGUUGUUUGAUUGAAAAUUGGUAUAUAGAAAUUCAAGAAUACUCAAAUACGAUUUUAAGAAGAAGAAGAAGUCAAUAAUAGAUUCUCUCUUCACAUCUUUCAUAGUUUUAAGAAAUUCAAAACUACCAAAAGAACAAUUUUUAGAGAAGGAAUAGGAAUUGCAGAUAGAGAAAGGACAUUCUGACUAUAAGAGACAUUGGGUUUAAGGAAUGUUGAAAAAAGUGAAUAUUUCUUUGUGGACAACAGUGACUUUAAUCGAACUAGAAAAGUUGGAUUAGGUUUUUCUGUUAAAAACUAGGGCUUCAAUUAAGAUGGUUAUUAGUUAAUAAUAAUGAUAAUCAAUUUGAAGCAAUUAGUUUUUUUUUUAAUUUUUUGUUUCAAAUCCCUAACUAAUAAUUUUUGGAUAUUUAUAUACAUAAAAGGGAAAAAACCCAAUUCUUAGUUAAUAAUUUUUUAUAUCAUGUCAUCUGUCAUGUGAUAUUAAUGUCAUCAAAAUGACACAUUAAUAUGCUACGUGGUAGAUGACGUGGCAUAAAAAAUUACUAAUAGUAACAUUGACUAACUUCCUUAAUUAAUAGUUAGUGAAAGAGGUUUAUUUAACCCAAAAUAAGAGUUCAGGGAUUUAUUUUGACAUAAUAAAAAGAUAAAGAUUAAAUAAACUAUCUUGAUAUAAUUUGAGGAUUUAUUUAAAUAUUUGAUCUAAUAUAUAUAAUUUUGAAAAACUAUAUAUUUACGAAUAACAUGAAUAUCAAGGCAUUGGUAAUUAAUCAACAAUCUAUGUACACAUAAACAAGACCAAGACUUAGUGAAUUGAUAAAAAGAGGCUAACGUGUAGAAAAAGCAGUCCGAGAUAAGACAAACUAAGAAUUUCGCAAGAAAAAUAUAUGUUUUGCAUUGACUUUAUCUUCGUUUGGUAAGCCUGCAUCAUGGAGCUAAAAUGUUGUUGGAAAUUUUAUACCGAUGUUGAAGCUUGAACACUAUCAUUUACUACUGUUUGAUCAAGCCUAAAAGGCUUGGGUGUGCACCAAAAAGGGGUUUAGAAUUGUAAAAAGAAAAACAAACUAAUAAAGGUUUAGAACAGACAAAGCAUUAAAGCAUUUGAAAUUGAAAGCAAACGGUUGGAAAAUAGAGUAAUUAAGCAAUAACAUCAUAAUCUCCUGCUCUGUAGCUAUAUUGUUAAGUGACAGUUCAAACUGUUUUGCUUUUCAAAAGUCUCUCUUGUGCAAAAUGUUUUAGGCGUGACUGAUGGGUUAGACUUUUAAGGUGGAAUUUGAGAUUUUCACAUCCUCACAUUUUGAGAAUGUAAAAUCCGAGAAUACCCAACUAUAAUUUUGAGAAGAGGACGUCAACAAUAGUUUCUCGCUCUACAUCUUUCAUAGUUUUUGAAAUUUAAAACUACUUAAAAAAUAAUUUUAAAAAGAAAAAUAAGAAUUGCAGAUAUAGAGAAGACAUUCUGACUAUAAGGUACAUUGGUUUAGAGAAUGUAGAGAAAUACCAGAAUACCUAAAUACAAUUUUGAGGAUAAAAGUCAAUAAUAGAUUCUCUCUCUACAUCUUUCACAGUUUUAAAAAAUUCAAGACUAUCCAAAGAAUAAUUUUAGAAAAGGAAUAUGUAUUGCAAACAGGGAGAGGAUAUUCUGACUAUAAGAUAUGUUGGGUCGAGAGAAUGUUGAAGAAAGUGAAUAUUUCUUUGUGAGCACCAAUGGCUUGAAUCGAACCAAAAAGGUUGGAAUAUAUUUUUUUGUUAGGAUUGAUGACUCAAAUUAAGAAGAUGGUAAUUAGUUAAAAAAUAUUGAUAACCUGAUUGAAGCAAUUAGUUUUUUUUUUAAUUUUUUGUUUCAGAUUUCUAAUUAAUAAUUUUUUGACAUUUGGAUAGGUAAAAGAGAAAAAACUCAAUUCUUAAUAAGUAAUUUUUUAUUUCAUUUCAUCUGUCACAUGACAUUGACGUCAACAAAAUGACACAUCAAUAUGAUUAAAUUGACUUUCUUGAUAUAAUUUGAAGACUUUUUUAGAUAUUUAAUCUAAUAUAAUUUUAGAAGACUAUAUGUUUACGAAUAACUUGAACAUCAAGGCAUUGAUAAUUAAUCAACAAUCUAUGGUCCACGUGAACAAGACCAAGACUUAGAGAAUUGAUAAAAAGAGGCUACCGUGUAGAAAAAGCAGCCCGAGAUAAGACAAACUAAGAAUUUCGCAAGAAAAAUAUAUGUUUUGCGUUGACUUUGUCUUCUUUUGGUAAGCCUGCAUCAUGGAGCGAAAAUGUCGUUGGAAAUUUUAUACUGACGUUAAAGCUUGAACACUAUCAUUUAGUACUCUUUGAUCAAGCCUAAAAACCUUGGGUGUGUACCAGAAAAGGUUUUAGAAUUGUAAAAAGAAAGACAAACUAGUAAAGGUUAAGAAGAGACAAAGCAUUCAAGCAUUUGAAAUUUAAAGCAAAAGGUUGGAAAAUAGAGUAAUUAAGCAAUAACAUCACAAUCUCCUGCUCUGUAGCUAUAUUGUUAAGUGACAGUUCAAACUGUUUUGCUUUUCAAAAGUCUCUCUUGUGGAAAAUGCUGUCCGCUACCCCAAAAUAAAAGUCAAGAGUCGUCAAAAAGUAUAUAAAUAAAUAAAUAAAUAAAGGUUAAGAAGGGACAAAGCAUUUUACUCAACAUGUUCGACUUGUUAAAAAAGUGUCUCUAGUGGAAAAUCUUUUAGGCCUGGCCGGUGGAUUUGGUGGGUUACAUUUAUAAUGUUGAAUUUGAGAUUUUCCAUAUUCUCACAAUUUAUAGGAAUUUAACUUUAUUAAUUCUAAAUUGACAAUAACCCUUUUUUUUAUGAAUACUGAUUUGAUGAAAUGCAUGGAAAAAUUGCAAAUGAAUUUUAAGUCAUUUGUUUGGUAUUAUCUUUUACAAGCAAAAUCAAACUUGAUAUCCCUUUUUUUUUUUUGGGUAAUUCAUUGGUGGUAAUUUAUUAUUUUCUAUAGGUAUAAUAUUUAAAAAAAUGUCUAAACUAUUUAAGAAAAUUUAAAUAAGUCUUUAUAGUUUUAUUGUGUUCAAUCAAAUACUUAUAUUUUUUUUAAACCAAAUAAGUUUUUAUAUUUUAUUUUUUAAAUCAAAUAAGCUUUUAUGAUUAAUGAUGGAUUUAAUAAAAAAAUAAAAAAAUUUUGAAUAUAGUUCAAAGGCUUGUUUUAGCAUUAUGCUUUUUUUCAUAUUUAAAUCAUCUGCCAUCUCAUAUUUGGAGUCAUUGUUUAAUAUUAUCUUUUAUAAGCGAAACCAAAAUUGAUAUCCUUUUCGCAUUUUUUGUUUGUUAUAAUCUUGACUUUCUUUUCAAAAUGAAUUCAUGUAUAUGAUCUUAUAUUUCUUUUUUUGGUGAAAUUAUAUUUUGAUCACUAUUAUAAAAUAUUUUACACUACCAUUCUUGCAUUCAUUGCUUGAAUUGUGAUGAUCAUAUAUAUGAAAUUUCGGAGGUCUAUAUCAAUACUAAUAACGUGAAUAACAAGCAUUGAUAAUUAAUUAACGAUCUACUUUCCACGCUCUACCAAAACACAGGACUCUGAGAAUUGAUUAAGGGGGGACCAAUGUGAAGAAAAAGCAGUCUGAGGUAUGAUAAAUUGUUGUGAUUUCCAGCAGAAAUUCGUAUGUUUUGCACUGACUUUGUCUUCGUGUUAUAAUGCUAUGGUAAGUUUGCAUUAUGGAGCAUGCAAUUAUUCCAAGUUUAAUUGAAGCAAGAAUGUGCUUGGAAAUUUUGCAUUGAUGUUGAGGCUUGAACAGUAUCAUUGACUCUUUGAUCAAGGCUAAAAAGCUUGGGCGUGUCUACCCCAUACUAAGUACAUGAAUAGAGGUUAAGGGACAAAAUAGCAAUCUACCAUCAACUUAUUGCUUCAUCAAUAAAAUUGAAGAGCAAUGAGUACUAUUUUAAUGCUUUUGUUUUUCAGUCUAGUUACUGUCAACAUUAGUUUCAAUGAGGGUUGUAUUGAGAGUGAGAGACAAGCCCUUUUCAUGUUCAAACAGGAUCUCAUAAAUCAUGCAAAUCGGUUGGCUUCUUGGACAGUUGAUAAAGAUUGUUGUGAUUGGGUUGGAGUUGUUUGUGACAAUGUGACUGGCCAUGUGCUUCAACUCCAUCUUACAAAUCCACUAUCUUCUCCGGGAAAUCUUUAUGCCCGUGAUGCUGACUAUGAGGCCUUUGAAAGGUCAAAGCUAAGAGGUAAGAUAAACCCUUCUUUGCUCAUGCUGAAGCAUUUGAAUUAUUUGGACUUAAGCAACAAUGCGUUUGAAGGUAUUCCCAUUCCCAAGUUCUUGGGUUCUAUUGAGAGUUUAAGAUAUCUUAAUCUCUCUCACGCUGGAUUUAAAGGAUUAGUUCCUCAUCAACUCGGAAAUCUAUCGAGUUUACAGAUUCUUAAUCUUGCCGAUGAUGAAGGUUAUCUCUAUGUUGCCAAUCUCCAAUGGUUGUCUGGUCUUUCCUCGUUAGAACACCUUGAUUUGAGUAAUGUGAGCCUUAUAGAGGUUUCCAAUUGGUUGAAAGUGGUAAAUACACUUCCUUCCUUGCAGGAACUAUAUUUAUCAGGCUGUCAACUUCCUCAGGUUCCUCCACCCGCAAAUCUUAAUCUGUCAUCUCUUACAAUUCUCGAUCUUUCUUCCAAUUCUCUUGAAAAUACCUUGGUCGACUUUAGCUGGAUAUUUCAGCUCAAGUCCCUAGUUUCCCUUGAUCUGAGUGGUAAUAAUUUCCAAGGAUGUAUAUUUGAUGGCCUUGAAAACAUGACUUCUCUUACGCACCUUGAUCUUUCAGAUAACUCUUUUAAUUCUUCAAUACCUGACUGGUUGUAUAAUCUUAACUCUCUUCAAUUUCUUAGCCUUAGAUUUAACUACUUGCAAGGUUUAAUUUCAAGUGCCGUAGGAAACAUGAGUUCUGCCAUUAGCCUUGACUUCUCAGGGAAUGAACUUGAAGGAAAGAUUCCAAGAUCAAUGGGAAAUCUUUGUAACUUAAAAUCAAUUGAUUAUUCAGGUGUGAAUUUAAGUCAAGAUAUAUCUGACAUUUUAGAAAGUUUAUCGGGAUGUGUUUCUAAACAACUUGUUUUCUUGGGUUUAAGUGGGUGUCAACUUUCUGGUCAAUUAAGUAACCGACUUGUGAACUUUAAGAAUUUGAAAGAACUUUAUUUGUUUAAUAACUCAAUCUCGGGUCCGAUUCCGUUGUCCAUAGGACAACUUUCGUCCUUGAGCGUUUUAUUUCUUGGUCGGAACAAAUUAACUGGCCAACUUCCCGAGUCAGUUGGACGACUUGCAAAUUUGGAAAUAUUUUCUUUUUCUCAUAAUUUAUUAAGCGGGGUUGUUUCAGAAAUUCACUUUGACAAUCUUACAAAAUUGAAACUGUUAUUGGCUUCUGGGACCCCACUUGUUUUAAAAGUCCGUCCUAAUUGGAUUCCUCCUUUUCAACUCACAACUUUGAAAUUAAGAUAUUGGCAUGUAGGUCGGCAGUUUCCUCUGUGGCUUCAUUCACAAAAAUAUUUAAGAUAUGUAGAUAUCUCUAACUCAGGAAUUUCGGAUAGCAUUCCUAGUUGGGUUUGGAAUUCACCCUUCCAAAUUUAUUAUUUGAAUCUCUCUCACAACCAAAUCCAUGGGCAGAUUCCUGAUAUACCUAGGACUGCAUUUGUUGAUUCUGUCAUUGACCUUAGUUUUAAUAGUUUUAGUGGUCCAUUACCUCAAGUCUCUUCCAACGUGUCUUUUCUAGACCUCUCCAAUAAUCUUUUGUUAGGAUCGCUCUUCCACCUUUUGUG